GCUUGACUGUAGCUUGUAAUUGGGUUCGGGCUUUUUUUGCGCAGCCUAGGUGGGAGGCAACGAUGAUUUUUUUCCGGAAAAUUUGAGCCGUUAGUGAGAGACCACUCUGAAAAGGCUAGAAUCCUAAUAAUGAUCCUUGAAUCAGGACAUUUGACAGUUGCAGGUGGGCAGUUUUACUGGGCGGUAUUCUCCUAAAAAGUAACGGAGGGGUGCAAAGGUUCCCUCAAGCUGGACGGAAAUCAGCUUAAGAGUGUAAAGGCAAAAGGGAGCUUGACUGCAAGACCUACAAGUCGAGCAGGGGCGAAAGCCGGCCUUAGUGAUCCGACGGUACCACGUGGAAGGGCCGUCGCUCAACGGAUAAAAGUUA
rnacentral:rRNA from 1 species